GAGAGACAGGAGGGGGCUCAACCAUGGCAGACUCUUGAACUCCAGCCUCCUGUAGUGGAUUCACAUCCAGAAUUGCCAUGCGAGACAGACCAACUGCCAGAUGUUGAUUCUGAUGGGGAUGAUGACAUGCCUGAAUGGGUCAGAGAAAGGGCUACUGAACCAGAGGAGGAAAGGCACUUUGAUCUGGCCCUAUUAGAUAAUGAUGAUGAUGGUGACUUCUUUGAGGGUGUGUUGGAGUCGCCCAAUGAAGUGUUAAUGCCUUGGAGUCAGAGUGAAAAAGCAGCCGUGUCUCCGUAGCCGGAACACAGUGAGGUGCGCAUACCAGUGGUGGCUAAACCUUCUUUCAAAGUGACACCCGGUAAGGCAC